AAAAAAAAAAAAAAAAAAAAAAGACCCCGAUGUAGUUUUUAUUAAAUCAUAACAAAAACUUAACUAAAUCUAUUAAAAUUUCUUAGUAAAAUUUUGAUAUCAAUUUCAUUGAAAAACAUUUUAAUUCAGAUAUUAGCCAUAGCUGUGUACUUAUUUGUUCCAAUUUUUCUCAGAAAAUACAGCCAAGACAACCUAUUUUUUUUUUAUUAACCAUUCUAUUUUUAGAUUUGUUGUCACCAAUUGAAACUAACUGAAUUAGCUUUCAGACAAUCGUUGAACUCAAUUAUCUAUUUUCAUGACUUUAGGAAAGAGCCAGCAUGUUUCUUAAUUGUAAUCUUAUUGGUAGGUUUGUAGAUUAUUUCCAAAAUUAGGACAAUAAUGCCUAAUAAUGUACACAAUUUUAUCAAAAUAAAAUGGAUAACUGUGGUAUGCAACUUGACAAGUAAUUUAUAAAAACACCUACUGGUAUAAAUAUUAAAUGAUACAUAUUUUCUUUUAAAGAUUUAUGAAAACAUAAAAUCCAACUUGAACUUGUUAAGAAAAAUUAGGAGAAAAUUUUGUUCCAAUGUUCAAUGAAUGUUAUUCUGCUUAACUCAUAUUUGCAAUGCUACUGUCAAAAAUUACAAUCUAAUAUAUGUUUACGUCUGUCUUUUUGAAACUGUUUCAAGGUGUUUAAUGAAAUAUUAGUUUGCAUAAAAUUUAAUAACAAUUUGUCCAUAUUAUUUUAAAGCCCUGAAAUUGAAUUAUCUAAGUGAUGUGGCGUUUAAUGCCAAAAAUGAUCAUGUUUUUUUUAUCCCAGAUGUUCAGCUGAACAUUGCAAUUAAGGUUUAAAAAAAAAAAUGGAUGCUUUUGUUUAUUUUGUCUUCCAGCAACAAGAAAAUCAAAUGUAUACUAAAUGUAUCGUAAAAGUACCGGUAUACUAAAUUGACCACAUUUUUUCUUGUAUUUAUUCUGAAUGGAUCAUGUAUGUUCUAUCUUUAAGUAUGUUAUUUUGUUUUAAGGAUCAGAAUUUAAUAAGUUCAAAGAAAUAUUUUGUGUUUUCUAAAUUGUGAUCAAUGUAUUAUUUAUAAUUCUAUCAUUUAAAUUAGACCUUGUAUGAUGUGCAAGUAAUUUUCAAGAUAAAUAUUUCAUUAACAGUUUAUGACCAAGAUGUAUUUUUAAUAUUGUAUCAUUUUUGUAAACUGUUUUGUUCUUGUACAAAAAAAAACAUUUUAAUAAAAUUAUACAACUUUUAAGUAGUUUUGAAAUUCCUACAUUUAAUUGAUAUUAAAUAUAUAGCUCCAUUCAUUUUGUUCAAGAAAAUUUAACAUUACUCAGCAAGUCUACAUUCACAUACAGCAGGAAAGUAAAGGCAGUCUACAUUCACAUACAGCAGGAAAGUAAAAGAAUGCAGUCUACAUUCACAUACAGCAGGA